rnacentral:lncRNA from 1 species
GGGGUCAACAUCUACAAGGAAGGCCAGGAGGUGGCCCUGAAGCCAGACUCUGAGUACCCGACAUGGUGAGUGUGCCACACUGCCUCGGAACCUUGACACCAGCCUCUAGGAACACGAUAGUCCAGGAUAGCUCACUGGGGCCUGCUGGGCAUGCCUACCCUGGGGCCUGCUGGGCAUGCCUACCCUGGGGCCUGCUGGGCAUGCCUACCCUGGGGCCUGCUGGGCAUGCCUACCCUGGGGCCUGCUGGGCAUGCCUACCCUGGGGCCUGCUGGGCAUGCCUACCCUGGGGCCUGCUGGGCAUGCCUACCCUGGGGCCUGCUGGGCAUGCCUACCCUGGGGCCUGCUGGGCAUGCCUACCCUGGGGCCUGCUGGGCAUGCCUACCCUGGGGCCUGCUGGGCAUGCCUACCCUGGGGCCUGCUGGGCAUGCCUACCCUGGGGCCUGCUGGGCAUGCCUACCCUGGGGCCUGCUGGGCAUGCCUACCCUGGGGCCUGCUGGGCAUGCCUACCCUGGGGCCUGCUGGGCAUGCCUACCCUGGGGCCUGCUGGGCAUGCCUACCCUGGGGCCUGCUGGGCAUGCCUACCCUGGGGCCUGCUGGGCAUGCCAGAGAGUGCACAGAACCAUAUGUCCCCAAACGCUGAAGGGGCAGGGGCUCUGUUUCUUGAAGUUUAUGACUGACCCUUGGUUCAGGGAAACACAGGGCUGCUCAUCAACAGAAAUACCCACCCCCUUCCCAGAGCAAUCUGAA